rnacentral:rRNA from 1 species
UACUCUCUGGCUUGCUAGAGAGGAAAGUGGCGCACGGGUGCGUAACGCGUAUGCAACCUACCUUAAUCAGGGGGAUAGCCCGAAGAAAUUCGGAUUAACACCGCAUAAAAUCACAGCACAGCAUUGUGCAAUGAUCAAAUAUUUAUAGGAUUAAGAUGGGCAUGCGUGUCAUUAGUUAGUUGGCGGGGUAACGGCCCACCAAGACCACGAUGACUAGGGGAUCUGAGAGGAUGACCCCCCACACUGGUACUGAGACACGGACCAGACUCCUACGGGAGGCAGCAGUAAGGAAUAUUGGUCAAUGGGGGCAACCCUGAACCAGCCAUGCCGCGUGCAGGAAGACAGCCCUCUGGGUCGUAAACUGCUUUUAUUCGGGAAUAAACCACAUUACGAGUAAUGUGCUGAAUGUACCGAAGGAAUAAGGAUCGGCUAACUCCGUGCCAGCAGCCGCGGUAAUACGGAGGAUCCAAGCGUUAUCCGGAUUUAUUGGGUUUAAAGGGUGCGUAGGCGGCUUUUUAAGUCAGGGGUGAAAGACGGUAGCUCAACUAUCGCAGUGCCCUUGAUACUGAAGAGCUUGAAUGGACUAGAGGUAGGCGGAAUGUGACAAGUAGCGGUGAAAUGCAUAGAUAUGUCACAGAACACCGAUUGCGAAGGCAGCUUACUAUGGUUUUAUUGACGCUGAGGCACGAAAGCGUGGGGAUCAAACAGGAUUAGAUACCCUGGUAGUCCACGCCCUAAACGAUGAAUACUCGCUGUUAGCGAUACACAGUUAGCGGCUAAGCGAAAG